rnacentral:ribozyme from 1 species
UGCCCAGCUACUUCUAUCCCUACCUCCUCGUGGUGCCGGUCGGAAACUAUGGGCAACCUUAGGGAAGGUCGGGUAACCAACCCCGGUGGGAGCUGUGGUCAUAGAUAGGCUGACAGGGAAGG